rnacentral:rRNA from 1 species
ACUCCUACGGGAGGCAGCAGUGGGGAAUAUUGCACAAUGGGGGAAACCCUGAUGCAGCCAUGCCGCGUGUGUGAAGAAGGCCUUGGGUUGUAAAGCACUUUCUAGUAGGGAGGAAGGUAGUGUAGUUAACACCUGCAUUAUUUGUACGUUACCUACAGAAGAAGCACCGGCUAACUCCGUGCCAGCAGCCGCGGUAAGUACGGAGGGUGCGAGCGUUAAUCGGAAUUACUGGGCGUAAAGCGCAUGCAGGCGGCCUGUUAAGUCAGAUGUGAAAGCCCGGGGCUUAACCUCGGAAUUGCAUUUGAAACUGGCAGGCUAGAGUCUUGUAGAGGGGUUAGGAAUUUCAGGUGUAGCGGUGAAAUGCGUAGAGAUCUGAAGG